rnacentral:rRNA from 1 species
CAGUCGCCGCGGUAAUACGAAGGGUGCAAGCGUUAAUCGGAAUUACUGGGCGUAAAGGGUGCGUAGGCGGUUGUUUAAGUCUGUUGUGAAAUCCCCGGGCUCAACCUGGGAACUGCAUUUGUGACUGGCAAGCUAGAGUCUGGCAGAGGGGGGUGGAAUUCCGCGUGUAGCAGUGAAAUGCGUAGAUAUGCGGAGGAACACCGAUGGCGAAGGCAGCCCCCUGGGCCAACACUGACGCUCAUGCACGAAAGCGUGGGGAGCAAACAGGAUUAGAUACCCCAGUAGUCCCUGUCUCUUAUAC